UACAGAGGGCUCAAGCGUUGUUCGGAUUCAUUGGGCGGAAAGGGUGUGUAGGUGGCGCCGUAAGUCGGGUGUGAAAUUUCGGAGCUUAACUCCGAAACUGCAUUCGAUACUGCGGUGCUUGAGGACUGGAGAGGAGACUGGAAUUCAUGGUGUAGCAGUGAAAUGCGUAGAGAUCAUGAGGAAGACCAGUGGCGAAGGCGGGUCUCUGGACAGUUCCUGACGCUGAGACGCGAAAGCGUGGGGAGCAAACAGG
rnacentral:rRNA from 1 species